UGUGCCUUUGGCUAUACUCCCGAGUAUCUCCACUAUGCUGCUAAACACGGUCUCGAUACAACGUUUUUAUGAAGUGAUAAUGAACUUUUGCUUUUGAUUUUUUUGUAUUUUGAUUUUGUCACUUGGGUCUAUGCCGGGUUCUAUGCAGGUUUGUCCUUCUUGGUUGAGAUCAGACUGACGUUAAGAGCAAUGUGAGUACUGGGUUCCAUUUGCUACAGUAAAGCUUUGUUUGUUUGAAAGGUCCAUUAUCUUGAAUUCAUCAAAGAAGAGUUACAACCGGGAUCUCUUUCUGUUCCUAUAUUUCCCUCUCAUCCUCGUUUCAGCGUUAACUUCCUUCACGAUUCAGAAUGAUAAAUCAGCAUUCACCGGAAAAGCCAUCAUGUACUUGAAAAAAGGCAUCAAACCGAGGAGUGGAAAGGCUGGAUGCAGAUUAGGUCCUCUUUUUGAUGUACCACUACUUUUGCUGCUGCAGAGUACUAUAAUGCAAUCCGUGUCUUCAUUGCUUGCUACGUAUGGAUGACUGGAUUUGGGAAUUUUUCUUAUUAUGACUUUAGCCUUCCAAGGUUUGCACAGGUAGCUAUGUCCUCCCGGCCUUGAUCGGUACAUAUGGAUAAUAGGGAUGCUAUAUGCAUACUACCACCCAACUGUUGAAAGUUGGAUACUGGAGGAAGCUGAGAUGAAGUUCAGGAUGGCUAUCAAAACAACUGUGGCACGUAUAGCAAUAACGGUGGGAUAUUUUUGGUACGAGUACAGAUACAAGCUGGACAAGCUAACUUGCAACAGAUAUCAUCCUUACACCUCUUGGAUUCCUAUAACUGUUUAUAUCUGUCUCCGGGACAUCACUCAGUCUUUCCGCGGCUACAGUGUUUAUAUCUGUCUCAUGAACAGUCUCUCAGUCAAUAGUGAUAUUCGUCCUCUUGUGACGAUUUUUCCAAAAAAAAAAAAAUCUGUUCAUGAACUUUCAGGUGGCAUGGGAAGAUAACAUUGGAGACAUAUAUCUCCCAGUUUCAUAUAUGGCUCAGGUAUGUUACACUUUUUCUUGUGGAAGUUCUCAACUGUAGAGUGUAGAGCUGGCGUUUUGUUGGUAUGUUUCAGAUCUCUUAUAGGCGCUUUGAGCUUACCAACACUCUGAAAACAGCCUUCAUACCAAGUAUAACAAUGAUCCAACAUCUUUAGUUGUACUCAAUGCUGCCACACAUUUCAAAUUGUAUCAGAGAGCUGCACACGUUUAUUCAAAAGCCCGGAGGGUUCAUGGUUUUAAGGACACAGUCUAUUCAAGCUUAAGUGACGAAGACAAGUUAAAGAAACUCGGUGAUCUCAUGAAUGAAAGCCAUCACAGCUGCAGUGUCCUAUACGAGUAAUAAAUAAAAAGCUUCCUUACGGUUUUAGGAUACUAAUGUUAUCGAGCCAUGUUUUUGGGAGUAAAAAGAAUGGAAUUGUGGUACUCCAUUUACAGGAGAAAUACUACACGAAGAGAGUAGAGAAAGCAGUUGUGAAGGAAGAAGAUAUGAAGCAAAGCCUUUCAAGUGGUGCUGCCAUCUUCAACCUCUAAACACAUAUCUCUCCCUCUCUUAUGUAUUUUAUUCAAUCUGCAUUGUUUGCAAUUGUACCACUUCCCAACUUCACUUCGUAUACGUAAUAUAUUUUUAAAUAAUAUGUUCGUC